rnacentral:lncRNA from 10 species
GAAACUACCCUGCUUUUCCCCCAGUUUUGGUCUGUGAACACAUUUGGGAAAUUCUUCUGAUCCUACCGCUACUCUCUUGAGAGAGAGAAACAAGGGAAAAAAAAGUUAAUUGCCUGAGGAUAUACUGCUAGUGUUGCGGGACAAAUAGAGACGGGAGAGGCCAAACAGAAUUCAGGACAACCCUUUAUUAUUAAGCGCGCUAGGGAGGGAAGCAGGAACUCGUGGUGCCUCAAGGAACGUGAAACGGUGGAACACAGAUAAGCCUCUCCAUGAAGAAACAGCUCAGAUUUGACCAAGAUCACACAAGUAGGAGUUGAGGAAUUGGAACCCACUAUGACUGACUCCAAAUUAAUAUAGUGUUUAUAGCCACUUACA